rnacentral:tRNA from 1 species
GGCCCUUUAGCUCAGUUGGUCAGAGCACGCGACUCAUAAUCGCCCGGUCGCUGGUUCAAGUCCAGCAAGGGCCA